rnacentral:rRNA from 1 species
CCUACGGGAGGCAGCAGUGAGGAAUAUUGGUCAAUGGGCGGAAGCCUGAACCAGCCAAGUAGCGUGCAGGAUGACGGCCCUACGGGUUGUAAACUGCUUUUAUACGGGAAUAACGCGCCUUACGUGUAGGGCUUUGCAUGUACCGUAUGAAUAAGGACCGGCUAAUUCCGUGCCAGCAGCCGCGGUAAUACGGAAGGUCCGAGCGUUAUCCGGAUUUAUUGGGUUUAAAGGGAGCGUAGGCCGCAUGUCAAGCGUGCUGUGAAAGGUCCGGGCUCAACCCGAGCCUUGCAGUGCAAACUGGCGUGCUUGAGUCCGCGGAAGGCAGGCGGAAUUCGUGGUGUAGCGGUGAAAUGCUUAGAUAUGACGAAGAACCCCGAUUGCGAAGGCAGCUUGCUGCAGCGGAACUGACGCUGAUGCUCGAAAGCGCGGGUAUCGAACAGGAUUAGAUACCCGGGUAGUC